rnacentral:rRNA from 1 species
AUUGAACGCUGGCGGCAGGCCUAACACAUGCAAGUCGAACGAGUGGCGGACGGGUGAGUAAUAUAUCGGAACGUGCCCAGUAGCGGGGGAUAACUACUCGAAAGAGUGGCUAAUACCGCAUACUAUUGGAGAGGUCGAUAUCGGAUUAGCUAGUUGGUGGGGUAAAGGCUCACCAAGGCAACGAUCCGUAGCUGGUUUGAGAGGACGACCAUCCACACUUGGACUGAGACAAGGCCCAUACUCCUACGGGAGGAAGCAGUGGGGAAUCUUGGACAAUGGGUGAAACCCUGAUCCAGCCAUCCCGCGUGUAUGAGAAGGCCUUCGGGUUGUAAAGUACUUUUGGCAGAGAAGCGGUAUCUGCAGAAUAAGCACCGGCUAACUACGUGCCAGCCGCCGCGGUAAUAC